rnacentral:lncRNA from 1 species
UUCGGUGUACUCAACUUUUGUAUGUUGAAAUAGUAAGGUGAAAAUGAUGUAAUGUAAAGAUGAUGUAAAUUACCUUUUGGUUAAAGGAAAUCGUGAUGUAAAUGGAUAUAAAUGAAUGUAAUAGACUACUUGUGUUUGAUUUAAAUGAAAUCAAAUGACAUGUAUAUUGGAUGAUUAGUUAGUUUCGAUGCUUUCACUGUGGUUGUUGUUUGCCCUCGUGUAAACCUUGUAUAUUUCGCAAUUCUCUUUUGACUUGCUUGUAAUAUACUUGUUGUUGAAGCCUUAGGCGGACAGGAAAGGUACUGUCCUUUCGGCGUCUGUCAUGUGCUCAAAUCCGACCAAAUUGGCGAAGCUCGGGGCGUGACAAUUUCAGUUUUCUUAGAUACUGUAGGAAUGGUUGUCCAAAUCAAUCACUCUUUAUUUGUAUGGUGUUAAUCGUCCUAAACAUGAAGGUAAAGUGUUUUCCUUUUUAUCAUUUCACAUGAAAAAAAUUAUUAAUAACUAAUUAUUUGAAUGG